rnacentral:tRNA from 1 species
GGAGAGAUGGCUGAGCGGCUGAAAGCGGCGGUCUCGAAAACCGUUAGUCCGGCACCCCCGGGCUCGGGGGUUCAAAUCCCCCUCUCUCCGCCA